rnacentral:rRNA from 1 species
AUUGAACGCUGGCGGCAGGCCUAACACAUGCAAGUCGAGCGAGCGACGGACGGGUGAGUAAUGGCUGGGAAACUGACAGAUGGAGGGGGUUAACUACUGGGAAAGGUAGCAAAUACAGCAUACAGUCAGAUGUGUCAAGAUGGGAUUAGCGAGUAGGUGGGGUAACGGCUAACUUAGGCGACGAUCCCUAGCUGUGCUGAGGGGAUGACCAGGCACAUGGGAACUGCGACACGGCCCCGCUGCCAACGGGAGGCCGCAGUGGGGAAUACUGCACGAAGGGCGCAAGCAUGAUGCAGCCAUGCCGCGUGUGUGAAGAAGGCCGUCGGGUUGUAAAGCAAUUUCAGCUGGGAGGCGUUACCCGCAGAAGAAGCACCGGCUAACUCCGUGCCAGCAGCCGCGGUAAUUC